rnacentral:rRNA from 1 species
UAACUGAGUCGUACUUUCUUGUGAAUGCCAGAUCUUGUCUAAUUUCAGAAGGUAGCGAGGCUGGGCCUGGAUAGUACUUGGAUGGGAGACGGCUGUGAAUACCAGAUGCCCUGGUGG